rnacentral:tRNA from 2 species
GCCCCCGUUGUGUAGCGGCCUAGCACGCCGCCCUCUCAAGGCGGUAGCGCCGGUUCGAAUCCGGUCGGGGGUACCG